AGGUGCCGCGUAGAGCACUUUGUCUUCGUUCUUUAUCGACGCAUUAUUGUGGUUUUAAGACUUCAUUUUUUUUUAUUUGCUGUGAAGAGGUCCACCCCGAAGGAUGUGUGUGCUUGAGGGUCCACAAGCUAGUGUCUGAAUUUGAGUCACAGCCCGUUGCAAAUGGUGGCGUUGUUGUCGUGGAAUAAUUAAAGCAAAUUUGCACUUCAGACAGUCGCCCGUGGAAAAACAAGGCAAACAUCUCAGCUCUCAACGCUGGCGACCCACAACAAGAGCGCUGCCGAAUCACCAGACCCAGGUACAAUCGAGGAUACCGCCUCCUUAAGGAGCAGCAAAAACCCAUACGAAUUUUCGGGAUUAAAAUCCGACUUCAGCAUACCCAUUAUGUACUGGGAAGCAAACUGCAACUGCAAAGAGCAUUUGCAUCUUAUGCUUGUUACAUACUGCCCAGCUCAUCUGAUAUACCCCUUCGAAAUAGAAAUUCCGUUUAUAACAACAAAAACACCGUCAGCUGCCACUGCCAACAUCAACAAAAAGGGGUGCUCCAAAGUGUUUCGAGGACUCGUACCUCCUACAACGACAAUUGCAACAACAGCAAUGCAGAACAAAACGCCAGUCAGCCGGGAAAGUACGCAAAAAAAUGUCUUUAUGUACGGAAGGCAAGGUACGAACACGGGUAUAUGUAUAUGUACAUAUGUAUGUUUGGGCUACCAUAAUAUGGAACAGAGCCAGCAACACAAAAAACAAUGCCAGUGAGUGGCACAGAGCGCUGGAACAGGAGCGGUUCACAUGGCCAAGAAGCUAUGGUAAUGCCACACUACUUAACUCUGGGAUAAGUUUGAAGUUCCAACAAAUAAGCAUUAUGUUCACAAAUUGCAGGAACUGUUAUGCUUAACAAAUUGGUAAAAUUACAUGUACGAAGCUGCGUAUACUUAAUUUUACGGAAAUUACGUAUACGAUAUUACGUAUACGUAAUGUUAAUGGAAGUUAAGGGGAAUAUAAAAACAGUACUAAAUAAAGCUAGAUUAACUUAAUAUUAUACAAAAAACAUUUUAAUAUUAUAUAUUUAAUAUUUCAUUACUUUCUUUGGAACUCAUAACCUAAUUACCUAAUUAAUCUAAUUCAACCUAAUUAAAAUCAACAAUAAAAACAAAAAUGUUUUUUCUUAAAUAAAAGUAAGCUUUAAGCACUUCACUUCUGUUCAUCUAAAUAAAGUUAUCAAGAAAUGGUGCCCAUACAUAUUUCGUGAUCCUGUAUUGCCGCUUGCCGCUCCUGUGGCCAAGAGAGCAAAGCGGAAAGGAGGAAACCGAACGGCGACCGCGAUGACGGACUCGUGCGGAUGCUGCUGAUGCCGAUGCUGAGCCGAUGUGGAUGUGGAUGCCGACGAGGAUGAAGAUGACGAUGCUGCUGCUCGGCUCUUCCUGUGGCUUUUCUCACUUGCUGAGCGCAACAAGGACCAAAAAAUGCCAGCACGGCAACAACAAUGGCCAACAACAAUAAAAAUAGCGAAUGGCAACAAUAAACUGGGCUUGCGCCAAAAACGAAAUGCGAAAAUUUGUGGGAAGAGCGAGCGAGAAUCGUCUUCUCACGACAACAGGACGGGAACAACAACAGAAACAACAAAGGAGUAACGAGAUGGGAAAACAAAAUCACACACACACACACUUGAAGAGCGACUCUCACAAAAAGCUGCUCAAAGUCAGUGUUUCGGGUGGAUGCGUGUGUGUGUGUGUUAGUGGGAGAGAUUCACCCGAAAAAAGUUUUCAACUUGAAAUUGAACUGUGUGUGCCAUAGUUGAAGGUAGAAGAAGCAGCAUCAGACAAAUUGGAGAGCGCCAGUUGUUGUUGCUUCAGAUGCUGAUGCUGAUGCUGCUCUUCUCUCUCCUCCUCUACACAGACAGAAAUGUGGUUACAAUAAUCAAUAUGAUGAUGACAAACUAUUUUCAUUUAAACUGUUUUCUUGUAUUAGUGAUUAAUGCAUAAAAACUAUUUAAUAUGCCAAUUCAUAUUUAAUCAUAUUUAUACGUGUUAAUAAAGACAACUAAGCAAAAUAAUGAUUCUUAA